UAAUUGAUUAUGACGUACUUGUACUGAUUGAGAUUUUAACACGAAGUGAGUGGCGAACGGGUGAGUAACACGUGGGUAACCUGCCCAGAAGUAGGGGAUAACACCUGGAAACAGAUGCUAAUACCGUAUAACAGAGAAAACCGCAUGGUUUUCUUUUAAAAGAUGGCUCUGCUAUCACUUCUGGAUGGACCCGCGGCGUAUUAGCUAGUUGGUGAGGUAAAGGCUCACCAAGGCAGUGAUACGUAGCCGACCUGAGAGGGUAAUCGGCCACAUUGGGACUGAGACACGGCCCAGACUCCUACGGGAGGCAGCAGUAGGGAAUCUUCCACAAUGGACGCAAGUCUGAUGGAGCAACGCCGCGUGAGUGAAGAAGGGUUUCGGCUCGUAAAGCUCUGUU
rnacentral:rRNA from 1 species